rnacentral:rRNA from 1 species
UACAGAGGGUGCGAACGUUGUUCGGAUUUACUGGGCGUAAAGCGCGUGUAGGCGGUCUCGCAAGUCGGAUGUGAAAGCCCAGGGCUCAACCCUGGAAGUGCACUCGAUACUGCGAGGCUAGAGUCCCGGAGAGGAUGGUGGAACUCUCGGUGUAGAGGUGAAAUUCGUAGAUAUCGAGAAGAACACCGGUGGCGAAGGCGGCCAUCUGGACGGUGACUGACGCUGAGACGCGAAAGCGUGGAGAGCAAACAGG